rnacentral:lncRNA from 1 species
AGCAAUUGAAAACUCCAAGAACAACCAGUACAGUGAAAAUGAUCCCAAAUCACUGAAGUCUGUUCCACCUUCCCAAUGUCCUUCACCAACUUCAUUAAAUCUUUGCAAUGUCCCUGAGGAGAGUGACGAAAGCCAGGACUAUCCAAUCAGAUUGCUACAAAAAAAGAAAUUGACAGAAACUCCUUGCGAAUGCAGUCAGUCGGAGGUCACAUUCCUAGGAACACCCAGAAUGCAAGAGUCACUGAGGACUUCUGGGAAAUGUAUCUCCUCACUGAUACAAUCUGAUCCAUCACAUUCUGAGUACAUGCUGCUUCCCGAGUCCAUUUCACACAAACCUGUUGAGUGUAGCUGCUCAACGGAGACAGACAGCUUGACGUCCUGCGAAAACUGCAUAGCAAGUGGAUAUGGACACAGCAAUAUCAUCGAAAGUUAAAUAGGUCCUAGAUCUUUUUGGGGUACUGCUGCUUAGGAGAGCAGCAUAGUCCAUAGCAGCAGGGUUAUGGUACUUAAUGUCCAAGUUCAUCCUGCUGGCUACAUUGAAAGUAAUGGUAUUGAAGUAACAACUGCCCAAUAUAUUAGACUCCAGACACAGUUUGUUACUCUAGUUACCUUUCACGUUUUGUUUAUUAGUGCAUAAUUAUGAAAUCAAACAAAAUAAGCUACAUUUAUAAUAAUGCACACUUCAUCUUUCUUAUAUUUUAAUAACACCAUCCUGUUUUUAGGCGGGUUUAAACUGUAUAUAUAAAUUGCAUUAAAUGUUGCCCAUUUUAUUUAACUGUUUUUAUGCUGGAGGAGCCAAACCUUUCAUUAUGUUGUUUAUUCAUAAAACCAUGCGUUGACAACAAAAAAAUCAAACUCGGAAAUAAUAAAAUGGGGAAAAGAUUUCUCCAAUUCAAGAGUGUUUGUUUUUAUUCCCCACGCUAUUAUUUUUGGCUCUUUUAGAUACAAUGCUUUAAUCAAUUAGUAUCAUUAUAAUAAUUUAUGUAUAAAGCGCCAGCGCAUUCCGCAGCACUGUACAUGGGUACUAUUGAUAAAGUAAACGUACAAUACAUCAGAGACAAUGCAAAAUUUGACAGACAAAUAUAGGAAGAGUUGAGGGCCCUAUAGAUAGAUGUACAGCUUCCACUUGCACAAUUAUAUUCGAGGAAAUGUGACAUUUGCUAGAAAUUUGUAUAGAUUAAAUUUUAUGCUCUUUAAAGUGGUGCCAUACGCAUUCUUGUACACACGUGAAAAAACUUUACAAUAGUGGAUGUUUAUUUUUGUAUACUUCGGCAGUACACAUUUCUUUAGUACAUGAUGAUAUCAGGUAUCAGGCCGUUUCCAGACGUAUGAAUGACUUGAAUUUGAAUUCUGAAUCAAUAUUUCACGACUGCUCCCCUGGGAGCUGACUCUAUAUUGAUUUCCUACUGAGAUAUUGACAUAUAAUGAGUUUUGUGAAAUUAUUGAUAUUGUCUGAUUUGUUUUUUGACAUUUAUUAUUGGUAUCUGCUGUUAUACUCAGUAUUGUACAAACCUCUUCUUUAUGUUUUAAUAUUUUCUUUAAAUGUGCUAAUUUAUUUAAUUUGCCAUUUUAAUUUGUAUUUUUAAGAAUGCUGGACAAAACUGUUUGUAAUACAUUUUGCAACUAAGAUGGGUACUGCAUUCUUUAUUACGUAUUAUACUUUGUUAUUCAUCAUUUCAGUGCGAUUUUCAUUAUUCAUAAUAUUUAUUGUCUGAUGCACUAGCUAUAUUCAUAUGUAUCUGUUUACGAUGUGUACACUUCCAGGUGUGAUUAAUAUGCUUAAAACCAGAAAAUGUAAAAAAAAAAAUUUUUUAUACAACUCAAUUUUGUUUUUGUAUUUAGUGGAGUUAAUGAGUGCUUCUAUCCAUAACAAAAAAAAUAUCCUUUUAUAAGCAAAAUUAACUUGCUGCCUUAUCUAACAAGAUGUGGCAUAGAACAG